rnacentral:RNase_P_RNA from 2 species
GUUAUCAACUGAUCGCAGAGUAUUUAUUUAAAUAUUUUGAGGAAAGUCCAUGCUAGCACUUACUGAGAUGUAAGUAAUGUUUGUGGAAUAGGAAAAAAUAACUAUUCAAACAAGAGCAAACUUGUUAUGGCAAAUUUAAAUCUAAGGUUUUUUAAAUUAUGAUUUAAAUUGUGGUGCCACAGAGACGAGCUUAAAAGAAAUUUUAAGGUGAAACGAGGUAAACCCCACAAGCUAGAAACCUAAAUUAUGGUAAGGGAACCAAAAUAGGGAAAUCAACCGAUUUUUGGAAUUAAUGAUAAUUCAUUAGUUAGAUAAAUGGUCAGAUAAACAAAAUAUGGCUUACGAU